UCGAAAGGGCCACCAGUCUACCAUCUCUACCUCUCCCAAGAUCCCUCACUGGAAAUCAACUCAAGCCUAACCCCAGCAGAGGAACUCGGAGGAGAAGUGAUAGUGCUCAGGAUGAAAACUACUGAUGAUGUAGGACACGAGACAUUCCUGCUUCUUCUCAGCUUGGCCAAGGUGGGGACCAAGCAAUUGGCCAGGAGAAAUCAGCCCUGACCGAAGGGUUCUGGCUGGGCAUCUGGAGGGACAAGUCCAUCAUUUCCCCAUCAUACAGGCCAUGUUCGGUGUAGGAGGGAGAAACCUAGGACGCAAAGACGCUAUCCCUUCCACCGCCGCCACCAGCGUGUGCCUAGCCUUCCUAGCUGGUUCAACAAACAAGGGCUGAAACUUGACCUCAAGGAAGCACUCGGUCUCUCAACUAUAAUCCCAAUCCUGACUAACGUUUCUUUCAACACUAAAUCACAGCUAACGGUCAACUUUCACAGGGAGAAGGGACUCAAAAGGACUAGACAGGAGGUGGGGGAAACGUUGUUUCCCCUACCAAGAAGAUUUUAUACAGAAAAGAGAAAUGGUUUUUGUGCACACACGAAGCACUUCCCAGCCAAGCUCUCCAUCAAUCACUGUGACUCCAUAUUUAAACGUACGACUCAAGACCAGUGAAACCAUUUCUGGCUUCAUGUCUGACUUCCCAAAAUGUAGACCACAUCUGCAGGCAGCUGGAGGACUGGGCCAAGAGAAGCCUUUCGGGAGAUGUCACUGUGGGAAAAAAAAAAAUAAGGACUACACUCUGUGUAUCUUCCAGGAGGCAAAGGGUAACCCCAGCGUGCAUGCACCGCCCUCAAAGAAGCAGGCUGCCGGGCCUCUGACAUUUGCUCGGUUCUCAAGAAACUGCAGUUAGAAGAAAAGGAAGUAGUGUGAACUUUUCACCUUUUAUCUUGAUUCUCUGAAGAGGAGUUCUGUAGGAUUGUAGCAUUCUCAAGACAAAACAAAUCACCGGCAGUUACCGAUCGAGGCAUGUCUUCCUUUAGGAUCUAAUGGGGGCCUUUGUAAGAAGAACCCACACAGUAGCCUCCUCCCAUAAAACAAUCCUCACCCCAUGGUUGUUGGAAAGUAAUAGGUUCCUUGGGGACAUACAAACUCAAAGGACGGGCAAGCACCUUUUUUCCUUGCUUCACUUCUUACGGUAAUGACUUCCAUCAAACAGAA